AGUGAACGCUGGCGGUAGGCCUAACACAUGCAAGUCGAACGGCAGCACAGUAAGAGCUUGCUCUUACGGGUGGCGAGUGGCGGACGGGUGAGGAAUGCAUCGGAAUCUACUUUUUCGUGGGGGAUAACGUAGGGAAACUUACGCUAAUACCGCAUACGACCUGCGGGUGAAAGCAGGGGAUCUUCGGACCUUGCGCGAUUGAAUGAGCCGAUGUCGGAUUAGCUAGUUGGCGGGGUAAAGGCCCACCAAGGCGACGAUCCGUAGCUGGUCUGAGAGGAUGAUCAGCCACACUGGAACUGGGACACGGUCCAGACUCCUACGGGAGGCAGCAGUGGGGAAUAUUGGACAAUGGGCGCAAGCCUGAUCCAGCCAUACCGCGUGGGUGAAGAAGGCCUUCGGGUUGUAAAGCCCUUUUGUUGGGAAAGAAAAGCAGCAGGUUAAUACCCCGCUGUUCUGACGGUACCCAAAGAAUAAGCACCGGCUAACUUCGUG
rnacentral:rRNA from 1 species